ACUAAAUAGAUACCCGGUAGUCCACGCCCUAAACGAUGUCCUACUAGUUGUUGGUGGAGUAAAAUCCAUGAGUAAACGCAGCUAAACGCGUGAAGUAGACCGCCUGGGGAGUACGGUCGCAAGAUUAAAACUCAAAGGAAUUGACGGGGCCCGCACAAGCGGUGGAUUAUGUGGAUUAAUUCGAUGCAACGCGAAAAACCUUACCUGGCCUUGACAUGCCACUAACGAAGCAGAGAUGCAUUAGGUGCCCGUAAGGGAAAGUGGACACAGGUGCUGCAUGGCUGUCGUCAGCUCGUGUCGUGAGAUGUUGGGUUAAGUCCCGCAACGAGCGCAACCCUUGCCAUUAAUUGCCAUCAUUUAGUUGGGCACUUUAAUGGGACUGCCGGUGACAAACCGGAGGAAGGUGGGGAUGACGUCAAGUCCUCAUGGCCCUUAUGGCCAGGGCUUCACACGUAAUACAAUGGUCGGUACAGAGAGUUGCCAACCCGCGAGGGGAGCUAA
rnacentral:rRNA from 1 species